UAAGGUAGUAUUAGUUAUGAUCUUGAAACUUAAAAAAUUUGGCGGUAUUUUAAUCUAUUCAGAGGAAUUUGUUUUGUAAUCGAUAAUCCACGAUGGACCUUACUUUAAUUUGUUAUCAGUUUAUAUACCGUCGUUAUUAGAAUAUUUUAUAAGAAUGUUAAUUUUCAUAAUUUUAAAAAAGAAAAUAUAUCAGAUCAAGGUGUAGCUUAUAUUUAAGUAUUAAAUGAAUUACAAUAAAUUUAUUUAAGUGAAUAUAAAUUUGAAAUAUUUAUUGAAAUUGGAUUUGAUAGUAAAAUUAUAAAGAUUAAUAAU
rnacentral:rRNA from 1 species